rnacentral:piRNA from 1 species
UGGGACAUCUUUCAGAGUCCACAGGAGGCUU